UUGUGCAUUCUCCCGAAAAGUUUACAAGAAAUGUAACAAUGUCAGCAGAAAGAAAUCUCUGUGGCCACAAUAGUUGAAUGAGUUAAAAUGUAGUGCAAGUGGUGGCAGUGACAUUCAUUGCAUUUAACAUUGGCCUGUGCCUGUGACUUUGUUAGUGGAAUUUGAUAUUCUAUUCUUGAUAACAUUUUCUUUAAUAUUGUUGUAGUUGUUGUGGCAGUGUGUUGUACACUAAGUCGGCAUUCCUUGCCGAUGAAGGAAUCCAUCGGGUCAAUCCGGUACGUACAACGGGCUGCCAUGGGAUUGAAAUUUUCUUUGUGCUACACGAUUCGAAACUGGGAAUUCCAACCCGUGUGAUACUCAUAGACAUCCGGUACUGGAGGAAGUCUGUACUGACUGGUCAUUGCAACCUCAAGUCAUUGACGUUGCUCUGCAUGCAGGAAAGUUGUUGUAGCAGUGUGUUGUACACUGAGACGGCAGCCCUUUAAAGACGUCAUUUGGUCAACCCGGUACGUACAACCGGCUUUAAUCCCGAUUCCUAAAUUUUUUCUGAUGUUCUGCCAGGUUUCGAUCCCGGGCGUUCAGCGUUAUAGGCGGACGUGCUAAUCUCUGACCUCCCCAAGAUAUAUUCAUUUUAAGGUAGUGGCAGUUGCCCAACAGCAAAAUAUUGAGUGCAUUAUCUGUCAAAAUCAGUGAUUAGUGCAACUCUGAUUUUGUGUAUGUAACUAGUUCGCACCAUUUUUCGUUGUUUGCGUGUUAUGGUUCUUAACCAUAAAACACACAUACACAAACAAAACUCGUUGACAGAUAGUGCACUUUGCGGAAAAAAAUUGUACUCAGCUGUUUACGGUACACUACCUGGUUAUCCCCUGCGUAUUGUCCAAAAAAGAAAAAUUAUUAAUCACGCUUCAAUCUAAAGAGACAAGAACCUCGAAUAUCGUUUGUUUUCUUUUUCGAGAAUAUAAACCUGUCAACAGUGGUGUUACCUUCAACAGAGUGUUGCCAAGAUCGCCACAAUACCCUAUAGAGUUCCAAUAAAAAAAAACAGCACUAUUUUAUUUGGUAUAACAGAAUGCCAUAAGCUUGUAAAUGGCAUGGUUAUAUAAAACUAUAACUAGUGUAUAUAUUUUAAAAUGGAUAAACUUAUGUUUCCGGUCAAUAAACAAAUAGUAUAUAGUUUGUGACACUGGGUCAUUCAA